rnacentral:rRNA from 1 species
CCCUUCGGGGUACUCGAGUGGCGAACGGGUGAGUAACACGUGGGUGAUCUGCCCUGCACUUUGGGAUAAGCCUGGGAAACUGGGUCUAAUACCGAAUAGGACCACGCGCUUCAUGGUGUGUGGUGGAAAGCUUUUGCGGUGUGGGAUGGGCCCGCGGCCUAUCAGCUUGUUGGUGGGGUAAUGGCCUACCAAGGCGACGACGGGUAGCCGGCCUGAGAGGGUGACCGGCCACACUGGGACUGAGAUACGGCCCAGACUCCUACGGGAGGCAGCAGUGGGGAAUAUUGCACAAUGGGCGCAAGCCUGAUGCAGCGACGCCGCGUGAGGGAUGACGGCCUUCGGGUUGUAAACCUCUUUCACCAGGGACGAAGCGUAAGUGACGGUACCUGGAGAAGAAGCACCGGCCAACUACGUGCCAGCAGCCGCGGUAAUACGUAGGGUGCGAGCGUUGUCCGGAAUUACUGGGCGUAAAGAGCUCGUAGGUGGUUUGUCGCGUUGUUCGUGAAAACUCACAGCUUAACUGUGGGCGUGCGGGCGAUACGGGCAGACUAGAGUACUGCAGGGGAGACUGGAAUUCCUGGUGUAGCGGUGGAAUGCGCAGAUAUCAGGAGGAACACCGGUGGCGAAGGCGGGUCUCUGGGCAGUAACUGACGCUGAGGAGCGAAAGCGUGGGGAGCGAACAGGAUUAGAUACCCUGGUAGUCCACGCCGUAAACGGUGGGUACUAGGUGUGGGUUCCUUCCUUGGGAUCCGUGCCGUAGCUAACGCAUUAAGUACCCCGCCUGGGGAGUACGGCCGCAAGGCUAAAACUCAAAGGAAUUGACGGGGGCCCGCACAAGCGGCGGAGCAUGUGGAUUAAUUCGAUGCAACGCGAAGAACCUU